GUCUUCGUGGAGUAGGGUACUCGUUCUCAUUCAUUGCCUAUACGACCUUGUGGGUAUAUGAGAGAGUAGGUGGUUCGAAUCCACCCGAAGACG